rnacentral:hammerhead_ribozyme from 2 species
AAGCGAAACAGCCCUGCGGGGCUGUCGCCGGAGCAUGGCGGUUCCGGUCUGAUGAGCAAGCCAAU